rnacentral:rRNA from 1 species
UACGUAGGGUGCGAGCGUUGUCCGGAAUUAUUGGGCGUAAAGGGCUCGUAGGCGGUUUGUCGCGUCGGGAGUGAAAACACCGGGCUUAACUCGGUGCUGGCUUUCGAUACGGGCAGACUAGAGGUAUUCAGGGGAGAACGGAAUUCCUGGUGUAGCGGUGAAAUGCGCAGAUAUCAGGAGGAACACCCGUGGCGAAGGCGGCUCUCUGGAACGCAACUGACGCUGAGACGCGAAAGCGUGGGGAGCAAACAGG